UCCCCGGUAGUCCGAUGGUUAAGACUCUGCGCUUCCCCUGCAGAGGGCCCAGGUUCGAUCCCUGGUCAGGAAA
rnacentral:tRNA from 1 species